AGUCUAGUGUCCAGCAAAGCUCACGAUCUUGAGUUCUACUAGGCCCUCCAAGGGGGAUAAAUUAUAAGUCAUACUCCAGGACAGCAGUGGGAAGUGAAGGCUCAGGUUCCUAGCCCUCCUUGGGCUUUCUGCAGAUAGCACCUCCUGAAUUCCUUACUUAUGCCUUCACUCAGCAUCGGCUUCUCUUUGAUAUGCAAGGAGUUGAGCAUAAUGAUGCCUAUUUCUCUAUUAGUAUCUAAGUCUAUGUUCUCCAAAGACCAGGGCCUGUGCUGUCAUCAUCAUUUAUCAUCCCGCUGACUAAUAACUAUCAGAGCAGUCAUUCAGACUAAUACCUUCCUCAUAAGUUAAAUGCCUUCGCAAAGCUUAAAGGAGAGACAUGGAAUAAAAACAAUAAACAAAAGCAGAAAAUACUUGGGUAAAGCAAAACAUCAGGAGAUAAUUUUCCUAUCAAAGGAGAUCAUAGGAUUUUCCAUAUAAGUGUUCUUAAAGUCUUCAGUGGUAUAAUGGUAAUCUUCUUUAUACCAUGAACAAUGCCUUAUGUGUCAAAAAUGAUGGCAGUCUCCAAUGUCUCAAUCAGGAGAAUGUGUGGCCCAAGAACUGGUCAUUCUGAAGAUGACUGGACUUUCUGAAGAUGGGUCAGAGAUUCAGUUACUAAUGGAUGAGAGAAGAGUCCACAAGGAAGCACGGCACUUCCAGCUCUCUCUUUUUAAUUGAUUAGUCUUUGUCUUUACUGCUGGGGUGACUUACCUGGAUCACAACAGCGUUUGGACCUGGAGCUUGUGAUAAAUGAGUCUGAGCAGCUAACUUCUUAAGGUGCUCUCGAAUGUUCACCUGUAGAGGAGAGGACUUGAAGCCCACCCCUCACCAUCUGGACAGGAUCCAGGAAGACAGGAGUAUACCAGCUGCAUGACUCUUGCACAACUGUUUUACCACAGUUCUGCAAGCAUCCUUGAAAUGCCAACUGAAAAUAGCUUCCUCUGCCUUCCCUCAGAUACAAACCUCUCCAGUGGAUCCCCCAUUCCAAUGACUGAGGAUUCCCUAGGAAGAAGUCAGCUUGCAGCUGCUAUCUGCCCAACUUGGUUAAGUGAGACAUCCAGACUCCUCAAGGGAUCAAAAAUGGAACCCUUGAGCUUCACCCAGCCACAGCAAUCACUCAUCCCACCACUCUAAUGUGAGGCCACCCUCCUAAAGGGAUACCUGCUUGGGUCACAAAGAGAACAGGCUAGAAAUGAGCACAAAUUCCUUGGAUUCCUUGUCCUUAUCAUGUGCUUUCUAGGAGGAAGAGUGGCCAGGGAAGAUGCUACCCUGCCAUUACUCAGGACCAGGGACCUUAGUGGGGAGGAAGGCAGACCUAGAGGAAGUCAGGAAUGGCAAUGAAGCAGGUUUCAGAUGAUAUGGGAUAAAUAGCCACGUCUCAUCUGACUCCAUGUCCUUAGGACAAGGACCCCUCCCAUGUUUGCCUCAUGGUUCUAUGGUUAAUAUCUGAUACUUCCCUUGCUGUGAUUUAAAACAAGGUGCCCACUGGUGCUUUAGAUGAGCCAAAUCAUAAUGUAGUACUACCCCUUGCAUUGUAAAAUAUUUAAUGUCCCUGCAGUUACACCAUUUGAUGACAGUAACUCAGGAAGCAUAUGUGACAACCAAUAAAUCCCCAACCAUUCUUUAUGUCCCCAGGGGUAGUAGCCACCUCCACUUGAAAGCUAGUCCAUUGAGGCCUUUGAAGGAGACUAUUCAAAGCAAAUAAUGUGUGGAACACUUCGAGUUUUUGCUAACUAUUAAACCUGAAUCUUAAUUGCGCCAACUAGACUCUAUGAAAUGGAAAACAAGAUCCUUCACUUAAAGGGGUAUUGAAGAAGUUAGUUAAAGAUACAAUUCUCAGCAUCAUGGUUUACUCCAUGGACAGGCUCCCAAAGGAUGGUGAGAAGACACAGGCAUAUUAUGUCUUGGCAGCUUUUUGGUAAUAGGGAACAAACAGCAACCCUACGUUGUAAAGCUUUAUGGGGCUUUGGGGAGGGCAGAGCACCUUGAUGGGGAAUGGAGGAAUUCCUGUCUUCCAACAAACCCUUGUCAAGGUUUGAUGCAGCAGGAUGGGUCAGACCCACUCUCAUUCUCACCAGGGAUGCUACCAUCUGUAGCUCUGUGAAGGAAGGUAACUCUGUGAAGUCAUAGAAUCACUCCUUCCACAUACAUAAUUGAUAUCCAAAGACUGCAGGACUGUGAAAGUCCUGUGACCAGCCAAGACCUAUGUGGCGUCACAUGCAGUUGAUAUGAAAUGGCCAGGAUGGCAUUAUCCAAACCUGAG